rnacentral:miRNA from 1 species
AGUCAGCCUGUUCUUUGAAGCUUUUAAGUCAGGCAUUGACUUCUCUCUAGCUAUAAAAGAUAGCUAGAUAGCAU